rnacentral:rRNA from 1 species
AUUGAACGCUGGCGGCAGGCCUAACACAUGCAAGUCGAGCGGAUGAAGGGAGCUUGCUCCUGGAUUCAGCGGCGGACGGGUGAGUAAUGCCUAGGAAUCUGCCUGGUAGUGGGGGAUAACGUCCGGAAACGGGCGCUAAUACCGCAUACGUCCUGAGGGAGAAAGUGGGGGAUCUUCGGACCUCACGCUAUCAGAUGAGCCUAGGUCGGAUUAGCUAGUUGGUGGGGUAAAGGCCUACCAAGGCGACGAUCCGUAACUGGUCUGAGAGGAUGAUCAGUCACACUGGAACUGAGACACGGGCCAGACUCCUACGGGAGGCAGCAGUGGGGAAUAUUGGACAAUGGGCGAAAGCCUGAUCCAGCCAUGCCGCGUGUGUGAAGAAGGACUUCGGAUUGUAAAGCACUUUAAGUUGGGAGGAAGGGCAGUAAGUUAAUACCUUGCUGUUUUGACGUUACCAACAGAAUAAGCACCGGCUAACUUCGU